CGGCAAGAGAGAUGAAAACGAGGCACAGUGAGUAGGUUGGUUUAAGAGGAGCGAAUCAUGUGGGCUGGAAUGUAGUGGGAGAGGAGUGAGGAAAAGUAGUGGGGAGAGAACAAACAGAACCUAAAAUAAAGAGAACAGUGUAGAAAAGUGUAAAUUCUACUAGCAUAAACACUGGUUCCGCUAAUCUUAACCCAGACCCUUUUCUAACAACAGUUCCACUUAUGCAACGUUCCACAAGCUACCAAGUUCUGCAAAAUGAAGAUGAUCUGGAGUGAAAGAUGAACUUCAAGAGGAGGAAUGGCAGCUUUAGGUGAAGCGAGGCAGCACUCUGGCGGAUUGGUCGAUGGUGCGGCUCUACUCCUGGGAUGCCAGAGCGCCGGGACAUUUCCUCAGAAGCCCUCAUUCGACAAGGGGAGAAAGAUGAAUGAUUGCC
rnacentral:lncRNA from 1 species